UCACGAAGUCUAGAUCCCCAUCCAUGAAAGAACACCGAAAAUCACAAAUAAGAGAAAUUAAUUUAGGGAAUUAGGGCUUCUUUAAAAAAAUAAAAGGUUAAAAAACAAAUCAAAAAAUUGAGAGCGCCCAUACCUGUUACAGCUUAAAAAUAAUGGAGUGGGGCAAGAAAACACCAACAAUUUGGACCAGAGAGACGGAUGUCUAUAUGACGAAUAUUUUGGGGCGAUGUUUUAGGGCGCCAAUUCAGAUCUAUCUGCUUGCGUGAGCGAUGCCAGGUGAUCGGAACAAAGAUUCAGCGUGGAGAGGAUUCAAAAUUGAUAAGCGAUGUUCUUAAAACUGUUGCGUGUUUAAGGGAAGAUGAAGAG
rnacentral:lncRNA from 1 species